rnacentral:rRNA from 1 species
GAUGAACGCUGGCGGCGUGCCUAAUACAUGCAAGUAGAACGCUGAAGGAAGGAGCUUGCUCUUUCCGGAUGAGUUGCGAACGGGUGAGUAACGCGUAGGUAACCUGCCUGGUAGCGGGGGAUAACUAUUGGAAACGAUAGCUAAUACCGCAUAACAGUAGAUGUUGCAUGAUAUCUACUUAAAAGGUGCAAUUGCACCACUACCAGAUGGACCUGCGUUGUAUUAGCUAGUUGGUGAGGUAACGGCUCACCAAGGCGACGAUACAUAGCCGACCUGAGAGGGUGAUCGGCCACACUGGUACUGAGACACGGCCCAGACUCCUACGGGAGGCAGCAGUAGGGAAUCUUCGGCAAUGGACGGAAGUCUGACCGAGCAACGCCGCGUGAGUGAAGAAGGUUUUCGGAUCGUAAAGCUCUGUUGUAAGAGAAGAACGAGUGUGAGAGUGGAAAGUUCACACUGUGACGGUAUCUUACCAGAAAGGGACGGCUAACUACGUG